UGUCGGCAGUAAAUUACUUCGGAUGGCUGAUAUUAUUGAAGAAGUAAAAACCGAAAUUUUUGGUACUUUCAAUAAUUCAAAGAAAAACAAAAAUACGACUUAAUUAAUGCUGCAAACGGUAUUGCGUGCCAAUGUAAGCAUACAUCUCGCAUAGCACUAGUUGAGGAAAGAAUAAUGUGGUUCAAGCGAAUGUCAUGGCUCUAUCAAAUUCUUUUGUUUGUCCUUAGCAUCCUCUUGAUGUUAAUUUUCUGUGGAUUUUGGUUAUUACGUCAAUACAACAUUUCAAAUAUAUUUGGAGUUCAUGCUGCAUUUUGGCCUUACAAUGCAUGUACUGUGGCUUUUUGAUAAUUUAAGAUAAAUAUAACUAUCUGCUGUCGACAGAUUUUCAUAGUUAAAUAAACUCACGAUUGGUUUACAA